rnacentral:lncRNA from 1 species
UUGUGUACUUGGAUCUAUAUUUUGAUCCACUUCCUAACUUGACUCUUUGAUCCUUAUGUACGGAGAUUAUGAGUGAUCAAUAAGGGACCAGUCACUUCUAAUAAGGGGAGCGAACAUCCUAUGUGAUCUUAUAGUUCGAUGAUUCGAAAGUCUUUGACCAAACUAGGAUGAUAAUUAGAAAAAAAAUUUUAAUAUAUCAUCAACUAAAACAUCACCUUC